UAAAAAGGUGGCUGGAGCCAAAGGCA
rnacentral:piRNA from 1 species